CAGCAACUGAGGAAGGGCAGAGAAGGCCAGAAUGACCAGAGAACCUGCUGUAGAGAAAGGCUUUUGGGGUUUGAGCAUCUGCACCUUCAGAAGCUGCGCUGAAGCCUUCAUAGGCAGCCUCUGCCAUGUGAGGGAAGGCACUUCCACCAGGGGCUGGAAAUUAAACCCAGAACUUGAGUCUUGGAUGCUGUAGGCAGUGCCUUGAAAGAACUUCCUGGAACGGUGUGGAGCUUCAGAGCAUGAGCACAUUGACCUGAGCAACAACUAGAUGAUUCCUAAUCGUUUUUGGGUGUCCAUUUGGUUAUUUACGUGGCCAAGAAAGUCUUAAAAGUCUGCUGAGGAAGCGCA